UACAGUGUGGUUAGAAGUUGUCAUUGGUC
rnacentral:piRNA from 1 species